AACGAACGCUGGCGGCAUGCCUAACACAUGCAAGUCGAACGAUCCCUUCGGGGAUAGUGGCGCACGGGUGCGUAACGCGUGGGAACCUGCCCUUAGGUUCGGAAUAACUCAGAGAAAUUUGAGCUAAUACCGGAUAAUUUCUUCUGACCCAAGAUUUAUCGCCUUUGGAUGGGCCCGCGUUGGAUUAGCUAGUUGGUGGGGUAUAGGCCUACCAAGGCGACGAUCCAUAGCUGGUCUGAGAGGAUGGUCAGCCACACUGGGUCUGGGACCCGGCCGAGACUACUACGGGAGGCAGGAGUGGGGAAUAUUGGACAAUGGGGGGAAGGCUGAUCCAGCAAGGCCGGGUGAGUGAUGAAGGCCGUAGGGUUGUAAAGCUCUUUUACCCGGGAUGAUAAUGACAGUACCGGGAGAAUAAGCCCCGGCUAACUCCGUG
rnacentral:rRNA from 1 species